UGAUUCUGCCAGUAGUCAUAUGCUUGUCUCAAAGAUUAAGCCAUGCAUGUCUAAGUAUAAACACGUUAUACUGUGAAACUGCGAAUGGCUCAUUAAAUCACUUAUAGUUUAUUUGAUGGUUUUUGCUACAUGGAUAACUGUGGUAAUUCUAGAGCUAAUACAUGCGUACAAGCCCCGACUUCUGGAAGGGGUGUAUUUAUUAGAUAAAAAUCAACACUGUUGGUGAAUCAUGAUAACUUCUCGGAUCGCAUGGCCUCGUGCUGGCGAUACUUCAUUCAAAUAUCUGCCCUAUCAACUGUCGAUGGUAGGAUAGAGGCCUACCAUGGUUGCAACGGGUAACGGGGAAUAAGGGUUCGAUUCCGGAGAGGGAGCCUGAGAAACGGCUACCACAUCCAAGGAAGGCAGCAGGCGCGCAAAUUACCCAAUCCCGACACGGGGAGGUAGUGACAAUAUGUAACAAUAUACGGCUUUAUCGUCGUAUAAUUGGAAUGAGUACAAUUUAAAUCCCUUAACGAGGAACAAUUGGAGGGCAAGUCUGGUGCCAGCAGCCGCGGUAAUUCCAGCUCCAAUAGCGUAUAUUAAAGUUGUUGCAGUUAAAAAGCUCGUAGUUGGACCUUGGGCCUGGACCGGCGGUCCGCCUCACGGCGUGUACUGUCUUGCCGGGCCUUUCCUCUUGGUGAUCUGUUGUUUCGGCAGCAGGGAACCAGGACCUUUACUUUGAAAAAAUUAGAGUGUUCAAAGCAGGCUCGACGCCGGAAUAUAUUAGCAUGGAAUAACAAAAUAGGACGUGCGGCUCUAU
rnacentral:rRNA from 1 species